UGCAGAGCCCAGGCUGACGAGCCACCACACCCGGCUGCCAGGGUCCAAGCCUCAGCCCCGCCACCUGCUGGCUGUGUGACCCUGGGGUUUGAAGAUCCUGCCCAGGGUGGCCAGUUUGCUGUUCCUCCUCACAGGGGGAGUUCGAAUCCCUGAGACCAGAUAUUCAGGACGCGCCGGGGGCGUUUGGUCCAUCUCAUCUGGAAGACGAAAACCAAGGGGGUCCUCAAGUGGCCACCAAACCUAUGUGACUCCUGGGGGCCCAAGGUGAUGACCUCUCACCCUAAGGGGUCACCAGUGAUCCCCCCAAAGCCUGGACCCCAGGAUGGUUGUCCAGCAGUGCACCCACAGUGGCCGCAGCAGCUCAGCAGCGUGCGCUGAAUUUCCCUCUGUGAGACCCUCCCUCCUGCGACCCACUCACGGCCACCAGAAGCCUUCGCCUUCCGCCAUAUGACGCGCCACGUGUGAAGAUGUUCCUAAUUCCAGCAUGAAACGCUGCCUGCCCAGGACCCUUGCUCGUGCUCUGCCCUCCACCCACGCUGCUCUCCCUCCCAGCCGCUUCUCUGCCUCAUAAACUUCAGCUCCUCCAUUGAAUAGGACUUUGUCCAGAGUCUUUACCUUCCUCUUGUCCCAGACAGGGUCACUCCCUUGUCUUACGCCCAUGAAGCUACCUAUGCAGGCACCAAUGAGCCGCAAAGACCUCUGCCUGCCUGCCCUCCCACCAGGCUGCCACCUCUUCUAGGGUAGAGCCCAGGCCUGGGGCAGCCUUGGAACCCAACGCAGAGCCAGGCCGGUGAGAAUUCUGAGCAAACGGCUGCAGAGUGAGCACGUCUGUGAGCACGUCUGUGAGCAGGCAGAGGAAGCAGUGCUCCUGGACCCCUUCCUUGUCCAUGAAACGGCCAUGUUUGUAGACUCUGGGACACGUGAAGAUGAACGUCCUAGGAAGCUCAUGGCAGUGCUGUUUGUUGUAAAAGAGACUCAUACCGACCUACAUACCCGUCCACAGGGGGACUGGGUAAGUCAUCGUCUGUCCUGUCAACCACCUGUGUGCAGAUGCAGAAAGAAAGAAAGUGGAUCUCCAAGCACGGACAGGAAACUGAUCUGAGAUAAUCAGGCCAAAGAAAACCCCAGCGCACAAAUUCACACGCACACGCCACCAGUGUGCGAACAGGGGUGGUAUACAGGCACACACUGGUGUGUGGAGAGAAAAUGUCUGUGGGCCCUCCAAAGAAAUGGGGAACCCCGGGGCUGGGCACAGUGGCUUACGCCUAUAAUCCCAGCACUUUGGGAGGCCCAGGCAGGCAGAUCACAAGGUCAGGAGUUCGAGACCAGCCUGACCGACAUGGUGAAAUCCCGUCUCUACUAAAAAUACAAAAAUUAGCUGAGUGUGGUGGCGGGUACCUGUAAUCCCAGCUACUCAGGAGGCUGAGACAGGAUAAUUGUUUCAACCCGGGAGGCAAAGGUUGCAGUGAGCCAAGAUCACACCAUUGUACUCCAGCCUGGGUGACAGGGUGAGACUCUGUCUCAAAAAAAGAAGAAAAAAAAAAAAAAAGAAAGAAAGAAAUGGGGAGCCCUGGCUGUUGGCAGGCGGGGGAGAGAGGGAGAUGUGCUUCACAGGCUGUUUUUGUAGCACAAGCCGUGUGUCCCUUAGUAGGAAAGAUUAGUUAGAAUGAAACAAAAUGCAACUAACAAAAUGGUAAAGUUAGAGAAGCUCACAAAGUAAGCCAGCGUCACCUCCAUCCUAGGGUCACAGUGUAGAGCAGAGUUCAGGCCGUCACCCAGGCAGGACUGAGAAUAGAUGAGCACAUUGCCCCAGAUGCCUCCUGGGACAGGGAAGGGACGUUUCUUCUGGCAGCAACAAGGACCUGAGUCCCAACCAGGCUCCGAUUUAACCUCCCAGUGUCGCUGGGGGAGGAAGAUCGCAGACCCGUGGGGUGCUCCCCAGCACGGCUGCUACCACAGGAGCCCAGACCUCUGCCAGGACCCCUCGCCCUGCGAACAUACACACUCCCCGACAGCUGGCUCAGCCUCCCAUGGUCAGCGCGUGGUCAGUUCCACAGCCAGCAGGUGAAUUUGCCUUGUUACCUGUGGAAGGGGCUGGGAGCCCUAAGCUGAUGCAGACCUCAGAGCCCCAGGAAGCAUGGACAUGCAGGGAGAAGGGCUGGACGGUGUGGCUAACACAAGGGCUCACCUGAGGAAGGAGGUCACCUUUGUCAGAGAGGACAGGGAAGGAGACCACCAGUGUUCGAGGGGAAGGGGCAUUACCAGUGUCCAAGGGGCCGGGGAUUAUGAUGGGCCAGGCCCCUCAGACCCAGGGAAGGGGUCACACUCCCGCAUUUCCCACCUAAGGCACCCAUGCAUGCCACUGGCUGCCCCAAGGAGGCCCAGGACGGCCUGCUCUGAAUCUGGGCUCUGCAGAGCUCAGCCUGAGAAGAGCCAUAUGAGGCAGCACCCGAGGGCCCAAGGCCCCACAUGGCAGUGACCUCUGUGCCCCCAGUGACAGGCGGCCUGCCUGGCAGCCUCUAGAGCUUCCACGGGGUCUGGCUUCCAAAGGGCUGCACCUGUCUCUAACCCAGGGCCUUUGAGUAAGCCACCCGGCCCCUUGGAGCCUCGGUUUCCACAUCUGUUGAUAAAAAAAAAAGAUGCCAU
rnacentral:lncRNA from 10 species